GCUCAGUUUAUGUGUGGAUAUAAAAGCUGCUUGGAUAAUAAGCACGAAGACAUCUUGAGGAAGAAGAAGCCUGAAAUGCCCUUUCCGCGAUGACUGUCAAUCAUUUGGAAGAGAAACCAUGUGGAUGUAAAGAAGGUCAUCAGUGGGCAAGAAUUUUCAACCUAAGAAAGUUGGACUCGAAAAUUACAUCCAGAAUAUCCCUCCUUUCAAAGAUAUGAAGAAUGUCACAGUCAAAAGAAACUCUUUGUAUGUAAACAAUGUAAGAAUUCUUUUGUUCUUUCCAGUAUUCUAAAAGACCAUGGAAGAAUUCACACUGCUGUUUUCUAUCAACCCUAACGGUUCCUGUAGAAGCGAGCUCAAAAGCCAGUGAGAAGCUGCUCUCUGCAAUGUGAGAGACAACCAACAGGCCAGUUCCUGGUGCAUCUCUAAAUAAA